UCAACACAACUUUGCUCAAAGAAACUUGAAGAAAUUUUGCUGUAGACAGAAGUAAUCUGACAAUUGUAGAAUUACUGUGAAAAGAAAGUCUUGAUGAUUUUACUCUAACAAAAAUGAAGUUGAAAUUGAAUUGUUUUUCUCAUCCCACCUAAUGAUUUUUUGAGGGGCACAGAACUGAGUUCACUAACUCUAUAGCAAUUUCCUCCCACAAUAUAUGACCCUACUUACCAUUUCUAAUCUAUUAAAAAAAAACCCACCUGUUUAUGUGAUAGAAUUACACAAGGGCAUCCAACCUGAACACUGGUAACAGUCCUGUCCCCACGGGUAUGCAUCAGGCACAGGGCCUCUGUGAGUGGCAGAGACUGGGGCCUCAUCCGUCUCUUCUUUUUCCCAAGAUGCUUCCUACAUAGAUCUCCCACUGCACCACACACUGAGAAGCUCAGUUCAGUGUGUUUCAGGUGGUAGGUAUGUGUGGAAACCCAAUGACUCAUGCUUAGACUUGAUUCAGGCCUUUGGUGAUCUUGCAGACGGAUGAAAACAUGGAGGCGUGCUGUGUUCCAGUUUCACUUCAUCACUCUCUGGAUUUACAGCUCUGCCCAGUUCUGUCGUCAUUGCAGGCAAGAUCCUCUUGUAUGAUAGGAACCAGUAACAGUCACCAGACCAGAAUUUGAACACACACAUCCUUAAGGUGCAUCCCAAAGGUUGCCGCCUGACCCAGGAAGCCUUGGAACAUGACUCUCCUCUCCCCAGCCCAGGACCCCUACUCAGAGAUUGGCCAGUUCCUCCAUCAUUCUCUCCUCUUGUGUCAGCUUUGCCCUGAGAUCACCUUUUUGCCAUCCAUUUCCCUCACACCCUGAGCCCUGUGAACUUGAACUGCAAUAAGCUUGAACCACAGAUGAAGAGUCUAAAUGUCCUGACCAACAAAAUCUCAUAAAUUGUGGGCUCAGCUCCUUGGGAAGUGGUAUGCAUGACUUCCUUCACCAUAUUUAAGAUCUGAUGGAGUUAAUCGCUGAGGAACAUAUUGAAGGAGACAGAAACAGUGGAACAGAGACCCAAGGAGCUGUUUUCCUCCCCAGGUUCCAGGAUUUUUGCAACAAAUCAUGUAACCUUGUGCAACAAGUACAAAAGAGGAAAAGAAAAGGCUGAGAAGAACAUUUCCCUUUGUGUCCUAUUGUGGGGCUACUUCAUUUGUAGAGAUGUAAUUGUAGCCUGAAGCGUGCACUUGGGAAUCUGUGUUUCUGGGAAGAUUGGAGCUCCUCCCAUAAAGAGCUGGAGGAGACUGUGACGAGAAACAAUCUUUCCAACUAGCGACUGCGACUGAAUGAAUUGAAGGAGAUGCCUUUUUGCUUUAAUUUUUCACCACCCCCAACUCUGCAUUUAAGAAAAAAAAAACACGCUUUUUUUUCUUUGAGACUAUACCAGACUAGUUAAUAGAACAGGAUAAUUCUGGAUACAAGGCUCUGCAAAAUAGGAGAGUAUAAUGAGAGGCAUUUGAAUGGAUGUCAUUGUCUUUCACAAAGCAUGCUUUUGUCUCAUUGUUUUCACCUAAGACUUCUUGCAAAACAACGGGCUUUGAAAGUGCAAGAUAGGCUGCUUCACUCUUGAAGAGCUGACAGACAUCCCACCUUUUCCAGGAGGAUUGUGACUGGAGCUUCAAUCAUUUUUCUCCCCCGUUUCUGUGCAGUAGGUGUGACAAUUAGAGAGAACUGUGAGCUGACUAUCCUAUACCCAGUUCCAAUCCUGUCAGAAGGAACUAAAAAUACCCUGUGGUCAAACUAUAGUGAGUCCUGCUUCUAACGAGCUUGGGCUGAGGGCAGCCAGGGGGCGGUCAUGUCACCCACAGAAACAACAGCCAGAUGACACAAAACCAUCGCAUGAAAUUUCCUUCAUCUGAAAGCCUGCGACCUUUUUCAUGAUGCUGCACUUUGGUGAAACAAACAAACAAAAAAGUCCAUUUCUAAAUAUAGCCAGCUUUUGUAGGCUGUAGUUAGUCACGUUCCCACUUUGUAAAAAAUAUCAGAACGCAUUUUGGCAGAAAUUUUCAUCAUGAUAUGUUUUUUUUUUUCCUUUCAGUUCCCCAUAUUUAAAACUCUGGUGACACAAACAUUAAGGUAUAUAACCAGAAAACCUGGGGAAUUCUUCUGGAGUCAUGUGGUUCUUUACUUGACAAAAAUUUAUUGAGGACCUGAAUCAGGGGGUGUUCCAAGCCUCUGCUUCAAAUCAGUUUUCACUAUAGUCUUUUGUUCUUGGAGCUCUCUAGGAAAUCCCCACAUAGUUGGAAAAAAGGUGACUGCUCUCUCACAUGUAUAUGUGCCAGAGCAGAGAGCAUUGGAAACAAAACGGAGAUCAUCAAACACCUGCCUUGUGGGGCUCUGGUGGAUUUCAAAUGCAUUAAUACCCUUACAACAUCUAAUCGGAGUCUGUCAAGAGACAUCAUUACCACGUGGCAUGUUGCUUCAUGGCUACAGUAUGGCUGCCUCUGCUCCAAGCGUCACGUUCACAUUCAAGGCAAAAGAAAGGAAAGGAAAAGUGGCACUAGCGAUGUCUUUAUCAGGGAAAAAAAAAAACAAAAAACAAACAUCAUUGCUCACAUCUCAUUGGCCAGGACUGUGCUUUAUGGAAAUCUUUUGUUGCCAGGAGGUUUCCUGGCCUCCACAGUAACGGAACAAGGAGGAAAGAAGAAUAGGAAUGGCCAGCCAAUGCCAGCUGCCAUAUUUUGCAUAUCCAUAUGGCUAUUCCAUCAUGGCAUUAGGGAAGGAGCGGUUUUUUACUGUUGUUGUUUGUAAUUUAAGUAAGCCCAAUACUCAACAUGGGGCUUGAACUCACAACCCGAGAUCAAGAUUCACAUGCUCUACCUAUUGAGUCAGUCGGUCCCCCAGGGAAGGAGUCUUCUAAUACACCUCCCCAAAUCAUUCAGCUUUUAAAAUUACCUUUACUGUCACUGCUUGUAUUAAAAAUGGCAAUAGCAGCUGUGACUAUCAUUUACUGACUUACCGUGUGCCAGGCAUUGUGCUAGCUGAGUUUUCUACCUUUCCUUCAGUCUGGUUACAGUAAUCCUCCCUACAAGAGGAUAUUCGCCCUGUCCCUAUUUCACAGAUAAGAAAGCAAGCUCUCUGAGGCUGGAGAGGAUAAAUGGUUUGCCCAAGGCUACAUACUAAGAAGUGAUGGAGUUCGUGAACUUAAGUCCAUAUGGCUCUAAAGCUUAUGCUCUUCCCAAUGCAGGUACUGUGCCUUCAUACCUGGAUCAAAACUGGCCUUGAGUGAUCCACACACAUGAAGGAAUAUGGAUUUUUUCAUAAUCACCACACAUUCUUUUUAUAGCAGGCUGCAUCUAGUCCCUACUUGCUGUCCCCUUACAACUCUUUGAAGUCACUCAAGUGAAAAAAAAAAAGUCAUCCUCAUGUUGACCACAUCUCCUGAGUGGUGUUGGUAAUUGGGCCGGGGCAGCCAGCUGGCCCUGGGACUCUGCCGGCCUCGCAUGAGCACCUUCUCCCUAUGCUGUCUGGCUCAGCUUGGCAGCUUCCUGUUGCCAUCUUUCCAGAAAUUCAGCAAGGGCUCUGGGAAACCCAGGGGCCAUGCAAUUUGAAAAGAGGAAGUGCUAUGGUCUUGUUACUUCUCAACGAGAAAUGGACUUUUCAGUGGCAGGGCCAAGCCUCGAUUCCCCGGGGGAGACCACGACUGAGCAAUGGUGCUCUGGGAAAACGACCAGGGAGCUCCACAAGGCCAUUUGGCAGCCCUUGGAUCCAAGUCUGUGAGAGACUGGCACUGGGAACGGACCCAUUUCAGGCAGAGUGGGCCGUCCUUGUUCAAGUCUGAUUUACAGGAGAUGUGUCAACAUGCAGUAGAAAAACUAACCUCUGGCGCUCCUUAGAUGGAACUUUCUGUAAAAAGAACGGCCUGCUGUAAUUGUGAGGCUUUCCUUCUGCUCUAGAA